GCCUAACACAUGCAAGUCGAACGAACCUUCGGGUUAGUGGCGGACGGGUGAGUAACGCGUGAGAAUCUGCCCUCAGGAGGGGGAUAACGGUUGGAAACGGCCGCUAAUACCCCAUAUGCCGCGAGGUGAAAUGAAUUUCGCCUGAGGAUGAGCUCGCGUCUGAUUAGCUAGUUGGUGUAGGUAAUGGCUCACCAAGGCAUCGAUCAGUAGCUGGUCUGAGAGGAUGAUCAGCCACACUGGGACUGAGACACGGCCCAGACUCCUACGGGAGGCAGCAGUGGGGAAUUUUCCGCAAUGGGCGAAAGCCUGACGGAGCAACGCCGCGUGAGGGAUGAAGGCCUCUGGGCUGUAAACCUCUUUUAUCAAGGAAGAAGAUCUGACGGUACUUGAUGAAUAAGCCACGGCUAAUUCCGUGCCAGCAGCCGCGGUAAUA
rnacentral:rRNA from 1 species